CCGCUGCGCUCAGAGGGGACGGUGAGACCCCUGGCACUUGCCCUCCUGCCUGGGCCCAGCAGUGUGCCUGAGUCUCUCAUAGCUGAGACCGAGGUGUGUUCAGGCCCAGCUAAACCUAGGGAGGGCCCUGUCUGCAUCCUCUCUCGGCCAGGGGCUCCACGGAGGAGGCCGGUGGCCUUGAGCUGCAGCCCACAAGGCCAGGCCAUCUGGUCAGGGAGGCACACAUUGGCCUGUGGGAAGGGGCUGUGGCCUUGGGUGCCCAGGCCCAGGAGGGAAGGCUUGGCAUGGCUGCCUCCUCCAGUGCCAGGGCCUGGUCCUGGCUCCCUCGCCCCGUUUGGCCAUGGCUGUGGCCGUCCCACACUGACUGCUCCCCCAGCCCCCCUGGCUGGGAGCCCAGAGAGGCCUCAUUCUGCAGCGUCCCUGCUGGACACAUGCAAGGCCCAGAGAAGCAGGCCCUGCUUACACAUGGCCACCUUGGCCCAGUCGUCCCGGAGGAAUUUGGAAAAUGCAAUGGUCACAUUCUGCAAGGCUGGGCCUUUGGGAAGACUCGAGGCCGCUCAUGAAUGUGGAGUCUGUUCGGCCGCUGGCUGGGAUGCAAGCCUGAGAGCAGACCAGAGUCGGGACGGAGGCCGCAGCAGACGGCCUGCUGCUGGCUCCCGCUGGCCAGGAGGGCCUGGGGAUGGCAGAGGAGGCUGCCUGGGCUCAGGGCCUGGUUCCGUCCACCUGCAGCACGUUCGCCUCCUGCUGUGACCGGCACAGCCCUGCCCUCCUCCACUGGUUGAGGACCCCAGGUCCAGGCAGAGUGGCCAAGACCAGGACAAAUAGCUGCAUUCCACACCCUGAAGACCACCUCCCCUGGCCCUCUCUGGGCUUCCAAGGGGCCACUGCCUUGUUCUGGCCCCGGGGAGGCAGAGUGGGAUUUGAUCGUAGGCUCUGAGUUCCCUCAAACUCAUGUUUUCUCUGGAGGGUCUCCCACCCCCACCUGGGAGGGGGAAAGCUGUGGGUGUGGGCACCCAACUGCUGGGCUGCCAGCUCCUGGGUGGCGGGUGGUGGCCCCUCUUGCUUCAAGUGCUGGGUGAUGGGGAGGCUGGGGCCUAGGCUGACAGUGUCAGGAUGUGGUAGGUGACCCCCAGGGUUCCCCAGAUGAGCCCUGCCUGCUCACCCCCCUCCUCAGGCUCUCCCCAUGGUCAUAAAGGGAGCUUAUAUUUGGAACUGUGCUCUGAGAAGCCGGCUUUAUUUAGACAAGGAUGUAAUUCUCAGAGACCACUUCAAUCCCGACAAGAGCUGGGAUGAGUAAUAGCAGGAAGCCUACGUUUUGACGCUGGGGUCACAGCCCUGAGUCCUGCCAGUUCAGUCACUGAUCUCACUUCUGGUCUCCGGGACUUAGGACUGGCAACCGCAGGCCGUGGUGCAAGGGGCAGGGCCAUGGGCUCCAAGGACCAUCUGGACUCAGGAACUCACCGUGCUGACUGCAGCCAGGCCCCGGCCCCCAGCACAUCGGUGGGGGGAGGGUCCCUGAACGGCACCACCCUGCCUCCUACACUCCCCCCAAGUUGGUGGGACACACCCAGGCCAGGGGGGGUGGGUCAGUGAUGUAGACACCAAAGGAGGCUGAGGGGCCCAGACACUUGACAGCGUUUGAGGAGAGGGGAGGGAAUCCCAAGUCAGGAGGCACAGAGGCCCUGGUCCUGUGGGGAGGGCAGCGUCCAGGCUGCGCAUGUGACUGCACUGCGUGUGGCCUCCUCCGGAACAAGGACAGCUCCGCGUGCACUGCUCACACGUCUGACGCGGUGCCGCCGCUCGUGCUUCCAGGACCUCUGGGUGUGUGGAACAGGCACCCCCAGGGUGGACACAGCCUGGGCAAGCGGAGGCCUGGUGAGCAGAGUAUAGUAUAUAGCUGGGUGCCCUUGUGCAGUGAACAACCUACCCAACCGUACAGGCCUACCUUUCCUUCCAAUCAGGGAAAUGAUGGAACUGAAUGAAGUACAAGAUUGCAAUCAGUCCCCAAGGACAGUGUCUGCCACCCUGGCCAUGGUCACUAAGUGAAAGGUGAGGAUAAACUAGCCAGGGAGGGACCCCAGGCACCUGCAGGAAUGUCUCCCAGUGCUCACUAUCCCCCCCACCCUCCUCCUUCCGCCAUGCUCAGCUCAGCCCCCAGUUCUAGCAGAGAGUGAGGCUGGCAAUAGAAGCUUGGAGUGCUGAGUGCACUGUACGGCUCGGAGGACAGAGGUCCGAGCCCCAGCAUCAUCUUCCUGUUCAUGGGGGACAGUCGAGUGGGAGACAGGCAGGCCCACAGGUGAUGGGGAGUGCCAGGAGCAAUGGGGGCAGAGCAGAGGAGAGGGCACCCUGACAGGGAAGGUGGGCCGGUGGAGAUGAGAGACUGGAUGCCCAGUAUUCUGGCCAGGAGUGGGGAGGGGGAGCCGGCGUCCUGUAUGCUGAUGGACCUGGAGCUCCUUCCAGGGGAGAGCUGGCUGGACUGUGGCCAUCCACAAAUGCUGGGCUCCAGCUCUGCUCUGUCUGCACGGGCAGAAGAGUGGGCUGCUCCUGUGCUUACCCUACUCUCUUCCCUAUCACGCAACUAGGAUGAACAAAGCCAAGGUGGGCGGGCCAGCGGGAAUGGGCUGGGAAGUGGGCCCACCAGGAGGACCCGGGAUGCACAACAGUUCCCUAUGACCUCCCUCUGUCCUGGACUGGCAGCUGGCAUUUCGCACCCCUAAGUCUUCUGCAUCUUCCAGACCCCUCCCACAGACCCCGUGGAGUCUCCGAGAGUCCCAGGCCAGUGACCAUAAGGCUGGGCGUGCCCACCUGUGCCCCCACACUCUGCACCUCGGCGGGUACCGUGAGGCCCUGCAAGGUCCCCCAUUGUGCUGGUGACUUGCCCACACAGCCCCUGGACAGCUGUCUCUAGAGCCUGCAGUCUUGAUCUGCAUGGCCUGCCCCUCGCUCUCAGCCGGCCCUUUUGAACAAGGAAGAGGAAGGUAACCGAACUCUUAAAGUCAAAGCCAACAGGGAUGGGGUGUGCUGGGCUGGGCAGUCUCAGGCUCCAGAGGAAGCUGCCGUGUGAGUGGUGUCCAGGGCCACAUGCGUCGUUGGCACCAUUGGUGGUGGCAGGGUUCCAGAAAAAAGGAGGUGAGGGCAGGUCUCUGCUUCCAGGCCACCCUGGUGCUCACGAAUGUGAAGCUGGCAGAGACCUGCCACCCUUCUCUGAGAGAGAGGUGGGAGGGUACCUGGCCUGGAAAUCAGUCUGAAAAGGCGCAGGCCCUGAGAUUAGACUGAAAGGGGAUGUAACCUCUCCGUUAACGUUCUCCAGAGGCAACUGCGUGUGAAUUAGCCCAAAUGCCUGGCUCCUGGAGGGCAGGACUGGGGUCGAUAGGAGCCACAGGUGGGAGGUUUCUGCUCUACCUGCAGCAGGGCUGGCUCGGGGCUCUCCAGUGGGUUUCAAGGGUGGGACCUCGCUGCUGCGACAGGAGUGAGUUUCCCAUUGCUGGGGUAUUUAAGCAGAGUCGGUAACCUGGAGGCGGGGUCUGGUGGAGACUGAAGGCUGGAUGAGGAUCGAAGUUCAUGACCUCUAAGUUCCCUCUGACCCUGAAAUCCUGGACGUGCUGCUUCCACACUGCCAGCCGGGGACCCAGGUGGGGACCACGCAUCCUUUACCUGUUUCCCACGCUGAGAUGCUGGAUGGGCCACGGUGCCCCUCCAGAUGGCCCAGCCUUCCUAUUUGCCUCAA
ensembl:lncRNA